CCUACGGGUGGCAGCAGUGGGGAAUAUUGCACAAUGGGGGAAACCCUGAUGCAGCGACGCCGCGUGAGUGAAGAAGUAUUUCGGUAUGUAAAGCUCUGUCAGCAGGGAAGAAAAUGACGGUACCUGACCAAGAAGCCCCGGCUAACUACGUGCCAGCAGCCGCGGUAAUACGUAGGGGGCAAGCGUUAUCCGGAUUUACUGGGUGUAAAGGGAGCGUAGACGGCAGGGCAAGUCUGGAGUGAAAGGCGGGGGCGCAACCCCCGGACUGCUCUGGAAACUGCCAGGCUGGAGUGCAGGAGAGGUAAGUGGAAUUCCUAGUGUAGCGGUGAAAUGCGUAGAUAUUAGGAGGAACACCAGUGGCGAAGGCGGUCUGCUGGACAGCAACUGACGGUGAGGCGCGAAAGCGUGGGGAGCAAACAGGAUUAGAUACCCCUGUAGUC
rnacentral:rRNA from 1 species